rnacentral:rRNA from 1 species
CAGUCGAACGAAGCACUCUAUUUGAUUUUCUUCGGAGAUGAAGAUUUUGUGACUGAGUGGCGGACGGGUGAGUAACGCGUGGGUAACCUGCCUCAUACAGGGGGAUAACAGUUGGAAACGACUGCUAAUACCGCAUAAGCGCACGGUACCGCAUGGUACCGUGUGAAAAACUCCGGUGGUAUGAGAUGGACCCGCGUCUGAUUAGCUAGUUGGUGGGGUAACAGCCUACCAAGGCGACGAUCAGUAGCCGACCUGAGAGGGUGACCGGCCACAUUGGGACUGAGACACGGCCCAAACUCCUACGGGAGGCAGCAGUGGGGAAUAUUGCACAAUGGGGGAAACCCUGAUGCAGCGACGCCGCGUGAGCGAAGAAGUAUUUCGGUAUGUAAAGCUCUAUCAGCAGGGAAGAAAAAAAUGACGGUACCUGACUAAGAAGCACCGGCUAAAUACGUGCCAGCAGCCGCGGUAAUACGUAUGGUGCAAGCGUUAUCCGGAUUUACUGGGUGUAAAGGGAGCGCAGGCGGUGCGGCAAGUCUGAUGUGAAAGCCCGGGGCUCAACCCCGGUACUGCAUUGGAAACUGUCGUACUAGAGUGUCGGAGGGGUA